AUUUGCACUCGUUUGGUUUGA
rnacentral:siRNA from 1 species